rnacentral:rRNA from 1 species
CCAUACGACCGUACCGCAAACCGACACUGGUGCGCGAGAUGAGUAUUCUAAGGCGCUUGAGAGAACUCAGGAGAAGGAACUCGGCAAAUUGACACCGUAACUUCGGAAGAAGGUGUGCCCUAUUAGUGUGUAGUGAACAACGAAGCAUGAAUGGGUUGCAAAAAAUCGGUGGCUGCGACUGUUUAUUAAAAACACAGCACUCUGCAAACACGAAAGUGGACGUAUAGGGUGUGACGCCUGCCCGGUGCUGGAAGAUUAAAUGAUGGGGUGCAAGCUCUUGAUUGAAGUCCCAGUAAACGGCGGCCGUAACAAUAACGGUCCUAAGGUAGCGAAAUUCCUUGUCGGGUAAGUUCCGACCUGCACGAAUGGCGUAACGAUGGCCACACUGUCUCCUCCUGAGACUCAGCGAAGUUGAAAUGUUUGUGAUGAUGCAAUCUCCCCGCGGAAAGACGGAAAGACCCCAUGAACCUUUACUGUAGCUUUGUAUUGGACUUUGAACAGAUCUGUGUAGGAUAGGUGGGAGGCUUUGAAGCAGGGUCGCUAGAUCUUGUGGAGCCAACGUUGAAAUACCACCCUGGUGUGUUUGAGGUUCUAACCUAGGUCCAUUAUCUGGAUCGGGGACAGUGCAUGGUAGGCAGUUUGACUGGGGCGGUCUCCUCCCAAAGCGUAACGGAGGAGUUCGAAGGUACGCUAGUUACGGUCGGACAUCGUGACGAUAGUGCAAUGGCAUAAGCGUGCUUAACUGCGAGACUGACAAGUCGAGCAGAUGCGAAAGCAGGACAUAGUGAUCCGGUGGUUCUGUAUGGAAGGGCCAUCGCUCAACGGAUAAAAGGUACUCUGGGGAUAACAGGCUGAUACCGCCCAAGAGUUCAUAUCGACGGCGGUGUUUGGCACCUCGAUGUCGGCUCAUCUCAUCCUGGGGCUGUAGCCGGUCCCAAGGGUAUGGCUGUUCGCCAUUUAAAGAGGUACGUGAGCUGGGUUUAAAACGUCGUGAGACAGUUUGGUCCCUAUCUUCCGUGGGCGCUGCAGAUUUGAGGAAGCCUGCUCCUAGUACGAGAGGACCGGAGUGGACACACCUCUGGUGUAUCGGUUGUCACGCCAGUGGCAUUGCCGAGUAGCUAAGUGUGGAAGAGAUAACCGCUGAAAGCAUCUAAGCGGGAAACACGUUUCAAGAUGAGAUCUGCCGGGGCCUUGAGCCCCCUAAAGAGUCGUUCAAGACCAGGACGUUGAUAGGUCAGGUGUGGAAGUGA